rnacentral:rRNA from 1 species
AUUAGAUACCCGGGUAGUCCACGCCCUAAACGAUGAAUACUCGAUGUUGGCGAUAUACGGUAUGGUCAGCGACUGGGGUG